rnacentral:misc_RNA from 1 species
UCUCCGUUGGUGAACCAGCGGAGGGAUCAUUGCAGAGCCCAGGCUCCAGACCGCGCGGACCAUGCAGUUCCUGCGCCCCGGCGGGGGGCCCCCGGGGGGGGGGGGCCGGGGGUACCCGCCGGCGGCAAGCACCUCCAUCUCGUACCCGUAAUCGCUCGUCUCGAAAAGAAGCACAACUUUCAACGAUGGAUCUCUUGGCUCCGGCAUCGAUGAAGAACGCAGC